rnacentral:rRNA from 1 species
GAUCCUGCGGGAGAUUGCUGCUAUUUGGAUUCGUUAACCAUGCAAGUUACCUAGCAAUAGGAGCGGAAGGCGCAUUAACACGUAGAUAAUCUACCCUACGGCGGGGAAUAACCUUGGGAAACUGAGGGUAAAACCCUAUAGAGGAUGGGAAUGGAAACCAUCCUUUAAAUCGCAAGAGCCAUAGGAUGAGUCUGCGGCCGAUUAGGCUGUUGGUGGGGUAAUGGCCCACCAAACCAAUGAUCGGUACGGGCAUUGAGAGAUGUUGCCCGGCGAAGGACACUGAGGAACUGGUCCUAGCCCUACGGGGUGCAGCAGGUACGUAGUUUCUGCAAUAGGCGAAAGCCUGACAGAGGAAUCCAAAGUGCUCAUGCAUUCGCAUGGGCUUUUGCCGAGUGUAAACAGCUCGGAGAAUAAGUGGUGGGUAAGACAGGUGCCAGCAGCCGCGGUAAUCCCUGCGCCACAAGUGGCAAUCAGCGUUAUUGGGUCUAAAGCGUGCGUAGUCGGCUUUGUAAAUCCACUGUGAAAUCGUUCAGCUCAACUGGACGGCGUGCAGUGGAGACUGCAAGGCUAGGGACCAGGAGGGGCAAGAGGUAUUCUUAGGGUAGCGGUAAAAUGCGAUAAUCCUUAGAGGACCGCCGAUGGCGAAGGCAUCUUGCUAGCAUGGGUCCGACGAUCAGGCACGAAAGCCAGGGGAGCAAAACGGAUUAGAUACCCGAGUAGUCCUGGCUGUAAACUCUGCGAGCUAGGUGUUGCGUUUCCCACGUGGAGACGCAGUAUCGGAGCGAAGGCGUUAAGCUCGCCACCUGGGAAGUACGGUCGCAAGGCUGAAACUUAAAGGAAUUGGCGGGGGAGCGCUACAAGGGGUGCGGCGUGCGGUUUAAUCUAACUCAGCGCACAGAAUCUCACUAGCAGCGACGGCAGGAUGAAGGUCGGGUUGAAGACUCUACUUAACGAGCCGAGAGGUAGUGCAUGGCCGCCGUCAGCUCGUGCCGUGAGGUGUCCUCUUAAGUGAGGCAACGAGCGAGACCUGCGCGCACAAUUGCUAACGGGCCAGUAAUGGUGACCGAGCACUUAGUGCGGACUGCUCUCGAAAGGGAGAGGAAGGUGCAGGCAACGGCAGGUCUGUAUGCUCCGAAUCUGCUAGGCUACACGCGCGCAACAAUGGUAGGGACAAUGGGAUGCAACUCCGAAAGGAGAAGCUAAUCCUCUAAACCCUAUCUCAGUCUAAAUUGAGGAUUGUAACUCAUCCUCAUGACAUCGGAAUCCCUAGUAAUCGGGUGUUAGCAUCGCCUGGUGAACAUGUCCCCGCUCCUUGCACACACCGCCCGUCAAAUCAACCGAGUUGGGUCUUAGUGAGGCUUAGGUUUUUUGCCUGAUACGAACUAAGGCUCGAUGAGGUGGGUUAAGUCGACACAAGGUA